rnacentral:lncRNA from 1 species
AAAAAGGACGUUUAGUAAUUCUAAAAGGGACUACAAGAUGAAAAAUAAUAGUUUUGCCAGUUAAAGUUUGAGAUUCGAUGGUGUCGUAGAUCCGUUUGGUCAUCAGGUGUUACGAGCCACACCCAUGUCUAGCUAGAAUAGUGUGUCAGGCUCAGGCUGGAGAAGAAACAGGGUACAAACUGAUGAAAGAAUUAUCAUACUGAGGGAAUUCACUCAGAACUAACAAGAAUGAUAACGUGCUCCGACUGGAGCGGUUUAGGAACUGCUGGAAAGGUCUAGGGGAAUAAAGAUGGAAUGACUUCUAAUUUUUAGGUCCGUAUGGUUUGAAAUACUUGCACACAAACCGCACGAAAGCAUUCCUAGAAAUCUCGGCCCAAAAAAUGACGUUUAGUAAUUCUAAAUGGGACUAUAGGAUGAAAAACAAUAGUUUUGGCAGUUAAAGUUUGAGAUUCGAUGGUGCCGUAGAUCCGUUUGGUCAUCAGGUGUUACGAGCCACACCCAUGUCUAGCUAGAAUAGUGUGUCAGGCUCAGGCUAGAGAAGAAACGGGGAACAAACUGAUGAAAGAAUUAUCAUAACGAGGGAAUUCACUCAGAACUAACAAGAAUGAUAACGUGCUCCGACUGGAGCGGUUUAGGAACUGCUGGAAGGCUCUAGGGGAAUAAAGAUGGAAUGACUUCUAAUUUUUAG